UACUUUGCACUUAUACAGCUGAAAUAUUUACUUACCUGAUCCUCUUUUGGUCACAACCUUCAAGCUCUGAGUUAGAGUAGCAUACAAGAGAAUCAAAUUUGGAAUGGGAGCUUUCAUUUUCUGUCUUUCCACAGCUGCUCCC